UACGGGGGGGGCAAGCGUUGUUCGGAAUUACUGGGCGUAAAGGGCUCGUAGGCGGCCAACUAAGUCAGACGUGAAAUCCCUCGGCUUAACCGGGGAACUGCAUCUGAUACUGGAUGGCUUGAGUUCGGGAGAGGGAUGCGGAAUUCCAGGUGUAGCGGUGAAAUGCGUAGAUAUCGGGAGGAACACCUGUGGCGAAAGCGGCGCACUGGACCACAACUGACGCUGAGGCGCGAAAGCUAGGGGAGCAAACAGG
rnacentral:rRNA from 1 species